AAGAAGGUACAAAGCAUAAGAAACAUACGUUGAAUAUAACGCAGUUAGAAAUAGUAGAGCCCUCGAAAUGGUACCUACUAACUACUACCUAAGUAGUGAAAUGUUCUUUGUAAAAUUCUGAUAAGUAUAUGUAUUAACUGUAUCACAAUUACAUUUUCGCGAAAAAAAAAUAUUAUUGACCAUAGAUAAGUUAUGUGAAAUUCAUAAUUUUUUCGGAGUAAAUUCGUCCGUUGUAUGUAUUUGUUAAAUGAAAUUUCGCGUCUCAAGUAUACGCCUCUCAGUAAGAAUUUCACAAUUCUUCUAAUUUACACCUUACAUUCCGUUUCGAAUAAAUAACAAUCAUCUGAAAAAUUUGCUGAUCGAGAUCUCGGUAUUCACCAAAAGUCCAUAAAUGAACUGUAUGGCGGCGGAACAGCAACCACCAUUUGAAAAUUCCUAAAAAAAAAAAUUAUCACCGGUACAGAAUACCUCCACUGAAAAACGUCAGCAUCCAAGAUGUCUACCAGUCAUCGAAGUCAUCAAAAAGUAAUGAUUUUGACUAAAAAUUGAACGCAAUCAUCAAAGCUUAAUCGAAUAUUCUCAAAGCUGAAUGAUAAUUUGUUAAGAAUGUGGAAAUUAAAAAUGAAAAUUAUUGUUCAAUUAAUCUUCCAGGUACCUACUGGAAAUUACCUUAAAUUUGUGAAAAAUUAGCAUACUCAGGCAUAACUUUAAGAAAAUUGCUUUCAAAUUUGUUGAAAUGUCAUAAAAAUUCUUUAAAUUCGCUGAAAACAGAGAAAAAAAUCGCAAAAGUGAUCGAUUCGAAGUCUAGGAAACUACUCAUUUUCUGAUCAUAGGAAAUUUAAAAAAAAUUACUUACCUACUCGUAAUUAUUUUUGCCAGCGUUUUGUAAAUGUUGCGGCAGUCGCGAGUAUCGACUUUACUCGUACAAUAUAAGACUAUAUAAGUGUUGCUUUUAUUUUUUUUAAAUGUAACUGUGCGAAACAGAAUUAUAUACUGUCUAUACUGAUAAUUUAAUGAAAAAAAUAGAAAAAAACAUAUUUUUUUAUCAUUUAAAAAAAAAAAAACCAGAGCUGACAUUUUUUCCGGGUAACUUUCCAGGUACUCAAAAUGGUCUCCAUUGAAUUUGAUCAAAAUCCAAUGACGUUUUCAUUUCUCAUAUCCACCCUAAUGUACUUAGAUAGGUCUUAUAUUAUCUGUCAAUGGUUUCCUGUAAACCUGAUGUAAAUUUGCACUAGGUAUGCUCCUUUUCUUAAAGACAAGUUAUGGUUUUCUCUUGUACAGUAUUGUAAACGUUGUUAUUGAUCACAUUCGAUUUGAUUUACUUAGUUGAAAAAUGACGAUGAUGUUGGUUUUUUAGCAGUUUAAUAAUGUAAAAUAAGUACUUAAUACGAGCUAUUAUUUUCGAUUAUCGAGCAACAUUUUGUCCAAUUGUGAAACUUUUUCUUAAAAUACUUACCUACUUGCAUCAUAGUAAGCUCAAAUUUUGAAAACCCCCAUGUGACAAUUAGGUAGGUACCUAUUUUGUUUCUUGUACCAAAUUUCAAAAUUUUAUUUUGAUCCAAUUUUUUCAUUUUUAAAAGAGCUAACUGCGUUAACCACUCAGAAAAUUUAAAUUCUAACAUCCUCUCUAGCGCUCGUUGUAUCCCUCUUUGCAAUCCGAAUUUGCUUUCAUACAAAAUAACGCGAUAUAAGUAAAUAAUUCCGAUGUAUUCUUUCCAGUGUUUAUUGACCAUGAAACAAGGAUACGUUUUUAAUUCAAAAGAAAAAUAUUUCUACAGUGAUAACCAUAAGCAAAUUUGUGUCUAAGAUUAUAAAUAGAAUAGCAGAUGAUACAUAUAUGUAGUAUGUACAUAUCUAAAUGUAAUGUAUAAUAAGGAAGAAAGUUGUCGAUGAGACUGCUGAUGGUGAUCAAAAUUUUAACGAUCUCAAGGAAAAUUUCCGAAUUAAUAACGAUUUUUCGGAGCAAAAAUCUUGCAAAAAAAUGUUUUACCACCCCCCCCCUCCCUCCCCAACACAUGUACACAAAUUUAAUUUGAUGGGGUGAUUUUAUGUAAGUUUUUCCAAAAAGAGGAAGGACUACACGACUACAGUUACCUACUUAUAAUAAUACUAACCAUAAGCAAAUGUUUAUUUAAGAUUGCAAAUUUUUUUUGUAUUGGUUUGCAAAAGUACGUACCACAGGUAGGUAUUAAAUGUGGUGUAAAAUAGGUUCAGGUACUUUCAGCCAGAUUGUUUAUGUUACUCGUAUCGUAUCUGUGCAGGUGCCUAGAACAUUUUUUCAUUUGAGUUUUGAUUGAUACUCGUAUCUCAGCAUGAAUUUCAGCAAUCUGAAUUUUUUUAUUUUUGUUUUUGCUUUUUAGACGGAAGGCCCGCAUAAGGAUCUAUUGCACCCCCUCCCCGAUCCUCCAGGACAGUUUUUUCCUUAGUGGGGGAGUCCUAAGUAACAUUUUUGGCCCUUGUCCUAAAAUAAACAUGGCCCUACUCAUAAUAUUAUAAUGACUAUUUUGAUUGGCAGGUGAGUCGAAAUCGCAGAUUUUUCGUUCCAACGUGCACAACAUUUUUUGAACCAUAUAAAGGUAGAUCGAAACAGCAGGAAAAAAUUCAGCACCUGACAAAAUUUCAAGUGCUAAAGUGCCUUUUUCGAUUGUCGGUGAAUUUUUGAAAAAUCAAAUUUAGGCCAAAAAUGAGGGGAAAAAUCAAAAUCUUACCAAAUUGACCUAGAAAGCUGAAAUUAAGGACAUGACCCAUUUUCGACCUGCCAAAUCGAUUGGAAGCUGUUUCAGACCAUCUAGAGUAGUUCUGGAGCCUCCAGUAGAUUUUUGAAACUUGAAAUUCCCACAAAAUUUCAUCAAAUGGAGUUGGAAAGCCAAAAUUCAUUCUGCAAACUAAUUUCAAUGCGCUAGGAAAUCGACUGCGGGUGGAUUUCAUGUCGUUUUGGAGUCUCCAGCGACUUAUUGCAAAUUCCUGGAGUCUCCAGCAGAUUUUAGAAACAUGAAAUUUCCGCUUUUCAUCUCCAUUUAACGAAAUUUUGUGAAAAUUUUAAGUUUCAGAAAUGUACUGGAGGCCCCAGUAGUUUUCAAAAAGUCGCUGGAGACUCCAAAACGACUUGAAAUUACCUGCAGUCGAUUUCUUAGCGCAUUAAAAUUAGUAUUUAGUUUGCAGAAUGAAUUUUGGCUUUCCAACUCCAUUUGAUGAAAUUUUGUGGGAAUUUCGAGUUUCAAAAAUCUGCUGGAGUCUCCAGAACUACUCUGAACGAUCUGAAACAGUUUCCAAUCGAUUUGUCAAGUCAAAAAUUGGGUAUACCCCAAAUUUCAGCUUUCUAGGUCAAUUGGGUAAGAUUUUGAUUUUUUCCCCUCAUUUUUGUCCUAUAAAUUUGAUUUUUAAAAAUUCACCGAAAAUCGAAAAAGGCACUUUAGCUCUUGAAAUUUUGACAUGUGAUAAAUUUUUUGCUGCUCUUUCGAUCCACAUUAGUAAGGUUUAAAAAAUUUCGUGCAAGUCCUAUGUUGGAAACCAAAAUCAACGAUUUCGGCAGACCUGUCAAUCAAAAUGGCCGCCAUUUUGUGAGUAAGGCCUUGGUUUUUUUUUUAGGACAAGGGCUAGAAAUGUUCCUUAGCCUACCAGAGGUGACAUGGGGGAUUUAUACGGGAGUACAUAGUCUGAAAUUUCAUUGGCUCUAUAGGUAGGUGUAGGUACAUACUGUAUAAUUUUAAAUCAAUUCCCAAAAUUACACAUUGCUUCUAGAUUGAAAUUGUCAAUCAAUUUUCUAAAUUCACAAUGCCUCUAAAUUAUGAAUUGCUUUUUAGCGUUUGUAAGUAUAUUUUCAAAAUUACAAAAUUUCAACUAUUAAGUUCACAUUAUCCACAAAGUUACAAAACCUUUAAUCAAUUUUUGGAAUUCACAUCGUGUCUAAUUGACAAACUUUCAAAAUCAUUUUUCGUAAUUUUAGUGGUCUUUGUACUACAAAAUUUCAAAUCAAUUCCCUGAAUUUGGCAUUGCUUCUAAAUUAUUAAAUAUUGAAUGUGUCACUUCAAAAAUGGCGAUUUUGGGAAACCGAGUUCAAAGUUUUGAGUGAAAUUUUUUUCAUAUUAUUUUACGUUCGGAAUUCAGCCAAAAAUAUUUUGUAUUUUAAAAACUAGUAUUUUUUUUUUUAAACUUCAAUCUAAAAAAACAGUUACUUACUCGUAGGUAUUAAAUUAAAAUAGGAGGUAUUUAUCUAGAUGUACUUCCUGUACUUGUUGCUGAGAAAAAAAAUUACUUACCUAGUUAAGUGCCUACUUUCUUAUUUUGCUUUUUACUGCAUACCACAUCGCUAUACCUUGGCCACCGCCACGAUUAAUGCUUAAGGCCUUCCAUCAGAAGACCGAGCUUGAAACAAAUUAAACAAUAAUCAUUAUAAUUAUUACAUAGGUAUUUUUUAAAAUAUUAGGUAAUAUUUAAGGCUCGAGCAAAGCAAGGGCAAAAGCUCUUCACGCUUUGGGUGAAAAACGAGUUGAAACUAAAAAGAGGAUAAAAUUCAUGGACAUUUUAAUUCAUUAAAAUACCUACUAAGAGUUCGCUACGAGUAGGUCAUGAAAACCGGAUGAAUAUCCGCGCCAGAGAAAAAAAAAUUAUGAAAGCUCAAAGUUAGCUCCGUCAAUUCAAUAUAAAAAUGUAAAAAAAAUAAAAAAUAAAAAAUGUACGAGCCUGUUAAUGUCUUUUGAUAAAAUUUUGUGGGGCACAGUUUCUGCACCCUCUCUAUACUUCUUUGAAAUUCUAUUGAUCACUUACAAAUUUGUUCAAAAAAAAAUCAUUCACAGAAGAGAAGAUAAUAGAUUUUGUUUUUAAAAAAAUUGCAAGGGGAAAAAAUGAAGUUUACCGAGCCUUACUCCAAGAAAGAAAAAAAUUCGCGAAAAUGUCAAAAAUCAAGAAUUCAAUUUUUUAAAAAAGUAAGACUACAUUUAUCAAUUUUUUUCUUUAAUCUGAAACCAAAAAAAAAAAAAAAAAAAAACGAAUAAAAAUGCAAUUAGUGAAAUACGAGAUGGGAGAUAGACUAUAGUUUAAGGAGCGAGGCAAAGCUGGGCGACUUAAAGUCUAGGAUCAUACUAAGUAGUAUGAAAUUAAAAAAUUACUUGUCUACAUAUUUUUCACACUUCCGAUUGUGCAAGCUAAGUACAAGCGAUUUACUAGUACUAGAUGCCAAACAAAUCAAGAAUAAUUUACCUGUAAACGUAACGUACUACAAUAUUUUAAGUUUAAAUUUGUUAAAUUUUUUCAACUUGAAAAAAAAACGAAUAAAUUAUUUAGUGAAAUACGAAAGGAGAGGGAUUAUUUAAUUAAGCCUUGGGCUAAUGCUGCACCCUCAAAUGUUUCAUAAUGCUCUCCAUUAAUAGUUCGAAUAUCUUCAUUAUGAUUUUGCUCCUUUGCAGUGUAAAAGCAGCAUACGUAAAUAAAAUAGUUCUACUUUCUUGGGAUCAACUGAGUACAGAUGUGAAACAACAUUAAAAUGGUUUUUUCGUGAUGUCCAUUUUUUUGUUUUUUUAUUAAACACAUAAUGAUAUUGUGGUAUUUCUGCAUACCUAUAAUUUACACUAUUUGGGUCAUUUUGAUUCAAUUUAAACCAUGCUAGAAGUGUACUGUACCCCAUCUGUAAUCCUUCAAAUACACUAAAAGUAGUUUUGAACAUUUGAACUGCUCAAAGUAGGUUGAUGGUUAGUUCUACAUAGAGUCCUCUGUAAAUGAAAUGAAAAUUGUCUUUUUAAGGAUUUUUUGGAGCUACACAACCAUGAUAAUUUUCAGUAUCAAGAUUCCUCCCUUAUUUUUCCAUUUUCCAACUAAAACAUUUGAACAUUUUUAAUGGACAAAUUACUUUAUAAAAGGUGAAGUAACUUGAAUGAUUUUUAAAUAGGUAUGGAAUAUUCUUGAUUAUUUAUCUGUUGAAAAAUAUGAGAAAUUCCAUUAAAAAAAUGAAGACAUGAAUGAAUUUUUCUGAAAAAUGGGUGAAAGAGAUGAUUCACUGAAGUAAGAAAAAAUGCCUACCUAUUAAAAUAAAUAGCAUUUCUGCUGAAAUGUAUUUUCACAUAAUAUAGUAUAAUGUACCUCUGUAGUUCUAUAUUUUGUUGUCCACCUAUCAAAAUUUUUCAUGUAAGAGAUGAAACAUUCUUAAUUGUUACGAUUUACACACGAAUAGAUAGAUAGAAUAAUAACAGUUCAAGUUAGGUCAGGUAUGGUACUAUUGGUACUACUGAACCCAUCCUUAUUAAAUUUGAAACUCAACACGAACCGUAGGCUCUUGAAAAAUAACUAAAUGGCACUUUCGAGAAUCUACAAGUUGAUUUCAUUUUCUCGUUGACCAAUUAUUCAUCCUAUAUUGAUGUUGAUACAUAUCUAUUCGCGAAUUUCAAAUCAACACGCGAUUUGUUUGAACACAAUAGAAAACGUGUUUUUUUAAUUUUUUUGACCCUUAAUUUCAAAAUUUUCGAUUUUUUUUCUUGAUGACAUAUCUACAUGUCAAAAGGAACGUUUAAAAAAAAGGAGAAAUCGGUUCAGUAGAAGAGGCUGGCGGACUCUAUCAAAGUUCUCCAAAAUUCUUUUAAUUAAAAAAUAUUUGAAAGGAUGGAUUUUAUGGAUUUAAAAAAAUUACUUACUUAUCUAUUUUUUUUAUUGCCGUGUAAUGUAAACGAAUUUUUAAAUAGGUAUGGAAUAUUCUUAUCUACCUAUUAAAAUAAAUGGCAUUAAAAAAAUUUGAAAAUUUUUUAGAAACAAAAAUUAAAAAAUCAUUGAGAAAUGAAAAAUUAUGAAAUUAUUUGAAAGGAAGGAUUUAAAAAAAUUACUUACGUUUCAGUAAUUUUUAUUAUGAAUGUAUUUGAAAGGAUGGAUUUAUAAAAAAAUUACUUACUUUUCAGUAAUUUUUGAUACAAUUAUACGACUGUUACUGUUCAGGGUUGUACAAAAACGUGUUAAAAAAAAAAAUAAACGUUUUUUUUUUGUGUUUAAAACAUGUUUAAAAUGUGUUUUAAACACAAAUUCAUUUGUUUUGGAUUCACCAGACAUCAAUUUUUAAGAUGUGACGUCAUAAAAUAGCUAUAAAGCUCAAGAAAUAUUGAAAAAUUGGAAUCAAAACACAAAAUGUCAUGUCCUAGAUUUUGAAAAUUUUGAAUUUUCAAUUCACAGAUAGUAAGAAAAUGUUUGCAUCAUUGAAAUGACUUCAGUAACCCAUAGUGCUGAAAUAGACGAACAAAAAAUGUUAUUAGAACAAAUUGCCUAUUUUCAAAAUUGAAGGCGCAAACACAAUUUGAAAAUUUUUAAUUGAAGCAUCCCAAAUAUGGAAAUUUUGAAUCAAGUUUGCCCCUUCAAUUUUGAAAAUAGGCAAUCUGUCACAAAAAUACUUUUUGUUCUCUACUCGAGUACGAUGGAUUAUGGCCUUGGGCAUCAUUUGAAUGAUUCAAACAUUUCCUUAUUGUUAAUGAAUUUUUCAAAAUAGGUAAAUUUCUAGUUUUGCGAAGUGGCUCCUUCAAUUCACAAGAUAGGCAACCAGUCCUACCUACGUAAUAACGGUUUUUUGUUUGUCUACUCGAGUCCUAUCUGUAUCUACAGUUGAAUUUUGGCAGACGAGUCCUGGAACACCCUGUAUUUUCACUUGAGUAUUGAUUGAUAUCUGAGCAUGAAUUUCAGCAAUGUGAAUUUUUAAAUUUUUGUUUUUGAUUUCAUUUCGAUAAUUUUGAGGGACAUUGCACAAUAUCAUAAAAGUUAGCUAUAUAUUUUCAUUAUGUCUAAAGAUAGACAAAUUUUUAUAUUAUUCAUGUUUUGUACUAUUUCGUUAAACGUUAAAUUUUUUCAGGUUAAUGUUACAAUCAAUCAUAUAGUUUCUCAAGUUAAUGUAAUGUAAUGUUUAAUACAUAUAAGGCCUAUCUGGGAUGUGUAGAUCUCGUUUAUUCUAGUCAAGUACAUAGUCAAUAUGGCCAUGAAUUUUGUUUUUGUUUUGUCUAAUUAAAUGAUCGUAUGAAA